rnacentral:rRNA from 1 species
AGAGUGAACGCUGGCGGCAGGCCUAACACAUGCAAGUCGAGCGGUAGAGAGGUGCUUGCACCUCUUGAGAGCGGCGGACGGGUGAGUAAUGCCUAGGAAUCUGCCUAGUGGUGGGGGAUAACGUUCGGAAACGGACGCUAAUACCGCAUACGUCCUACGGGAGAAAGCGGGGGACCUUCGGGCCUCGCGCCAUUAGAUGAGCCUAGGUCGGAUUAGCUAGUUGGUGAGGUAAUGGCUCACCAAGGCGACGAUCCGUAACUGGUCUGAGAGGAUGAUCAGUCACACUGGAACUGAGACACGGUCCAGACUCCUACGGGAGGCAGCAGUGGGGAAUAUUGGACAAUGGGCGAAAGCCUGAUCCAGCCAUGCCGCGUGUGUGAAGAAGGUCUUCGGAUUGUAAAGCAACUUUAAGUUGGGAAGGUAAGGGUUGUAACUUAAUACGUUGACAACGUUUUGGCGUUACCGACAAGAAUAAGCAACCGGCUAACUUCGUCGCCUAGCAGCCG